UGGGGAAUAUUGGACAAUGGGGGGAACCCUGAUCCAGCCAUGCCGCGUGUGUGAAGAAGGCCUUAUGGUUGUAAAGCACUUUAAGCGAGGAGGAGGGUACUGGUAUUAAUACUACCAGGUACUGGACGUUACUCGCAGAAUAAGCACCGGCUAACUCUGUGCCAGCAGCCGCGUUAAUACAGAGGGUGCGAGCGUUAAUCGGAAUUACUGGGCGUAAAGCGCGCGUAGGUGGUUCGUUAAGUUGAAUGUGAAAGCCCCGGGCUCAACCUGGGAACUGCAUCCAGAACUGGCGAGCUAGAGUAGGGCAGAGGGUGGUGGAAUUUCCUGUGUAGCGGUGAAAUGCGUAGAUAUAGGAAGGAACACCAGUGGCGAAGGCGACCACCUGGGCUCAUACUGACACUGAGGUGCGAAAGCGUGGGGAGCAAACAGG
rnacentral:rRNA from 1 species